UACAAAAUAUCCACAAAAAAAGUCACUUUUAAUGAUAACAAGAUACAUUUGUGUUGAUUUUGAUUUCAUGAGUACUGAGUUUCAUAGUACUGUUUGUAUACACGUUAUCAGACACGUGAAGUAAAACCAUACAAGACUACGUUCUGCAAGGUCAUUCUGAUGCCCAACUGGGGGUGUAGAGGAAGUGAUGCGCUGUAUGGAACACUGAGAAACAGGAAGUAGGAAGCACUGUCAGUCUAUUUCUCCUGGAACACAAAAUGGAGAAGAUAGUGACAGAGUAUGGAACAGAUUGUCAGUUACAGUCAUUUACAUUCUUAAUGGAGUUACACACCUGGUGCCCAAAGAUAAGUCAAUUAACUGCAAUAGGUUGUCACAUCAUCUGAGUAGAAAUAGAGGGGCAGGAUAGCAUGACUGGCCAACAGACACCUCAGAACUAUAAGAAGAGGUGGAAGAAGGAACAGGGGAGGAGGAGGAGGAGAAGGAGGACGAGGAGGACGAGGAGGACGAGGAGAGAAAUUGAGAAAUUGUGUCUCCUCAGGAACCGCUGAGUGUAGUUCUCGUCCUCCUUUCCUCCUCCAUCUCUCUCCCUCCUCGUGCGGCCGGCCAGCUCUUGGCUGUAGCCCAGAGGAAUUCUCUGGUGGCCUUGAUAAAUAUACAAUUUAGAAUAACAGCGGACUGCAGCCGGAGCUCCAAAGUGUGGACUUGCUGGGGAUGCGUUCCAAUGGCACCCUAUUCCCUAUAUAGUGCACUACAUUUGACCAGGGCCCAUAGCACUACAUUUGACCAGGGCCCAUAGUAGUGCACUAUUUAGGGAAUAGGGUGCCAUUUUAGCAUAGGACUCUGGCAAGGAAGAGAGAGAGGUAAGAACAGAACACAUUCAUACCACCUCCUCUACCACCUCCUCCUCCUCUACCUCCCCUGGUCUGACCUGGUGAUUAUACAGGAAGACACUGUUGAUUGACUGCUCCCAGUUACUUGAUUGCAUGCAACGCUUUGACGGCAGAAAGCUCAAUAUUUGUGUUAUCUACCUGGGCUAAUGCCUGGGCGUUUAGCUCAGUGCGCUUUCACAGUCUUGUGGUGUCACGUUAGUGUACAGACUGUCUUCAGUUAGAGUGGUGAGUCUGGAGAAGGCUUCAGCUGUACAGCGCUCAGUGGUAUCAUCAGAAACACACCUGUCAAUCAAUCAAUCAAUCAUACUAAUCAAUCAUACUAAUCAAUCAAUCAAUCAUACUACUCAAUCAAUCAAUCAAUCAUACUAAUCAAUCAAUCAAUCAUACUAAUCAAUCAUACUAAUCAAUCAAUCAAUCAAUCAAUAAAUCAAUCACACUAGUGAUGCUUGCUGAGAUGCAGUUACUGGGGUGCUACUGUCUGUAGGACUGUCUGUAGGGUGUCUGUAGGACUGUCUGUAGCGUGUCUGUAGGGCUGUCUGUAACGUGUCUGUAGGACUGUCUGUAGCGUGUCUGUAGGACUGUCUGUAACGUGUCUGUAGGACUGUCUGUAACGUGUCUGUAGGACUGUCUGUAACGUGUCUGUAGGACUGUCUGUAACGUGUCUGUAGGACUGUCUGUAACGUGUCUGUAGGACUGUCUGUAGCGUGUCUGUAGGACUGUCUGUAGCGUGUCUGUAGGACUGUCUGUAGUGUGUCUGUAGGACUGUCUGUAGUGUGUCUGUAGGACUUUAAUUACGAUUGCACAUUGUCUUUGAUAAACAUGGUGACAUGGUAACCUACAGACAUUUAAUAGGACCUCUGCUCACUUUUUACAUUUCUUUUAUAUAUAUUGGAAUUUAGGCUGUAGCGUGUCUGUAGGACUGUCUGUAGUGUGUCUGUAGGACUGUCUGUAGUGUGUCUGUAGGACUGUCUGUAGUGUGUCUGUAGGACUGUCUGUAGUGUGUCUGUAGGACUGUCUGUAGUGUGUCUGUAGGACUGUCUGUAGCGUGUCUGUAGGACUGUCUGUAGCAUGUCUGUAGGACUGUCUGUAGUGUGUCUGUAGGACUGUCUGUAGUGUGUCUGUAGGACUGUAAUUACGAUUGCACAUUGUCUUUGAUAAACAUGGUGACAUGGUAACCUACAGACAUUUAAUAGGACCUCUGCUCACUUUUUACAUUUCUUUUAUAUAUAUUGGAAUUUAGGCUGUAGCGUGUCUGUAGGACUGUCUGUAGCGUGUCUGUAGGGCUGUCUGUAACGUGUCUGUAGGACUGUCUGUAGCGUGUCUGUAGGACUGUCUGUAACGUGUCUGUAGGACUGUCUGUAACGUGUCUGUAGGACUGUCUGUAACGUGUCUGUAGGACUGUCUGUAGCGUAUCUGUAGGACUGUCUGUAGCAUGUCUGUAGGACUGUCUGUAGUGUGUCUGUAGGACUGUCUGUAGUGUGUCUGUAGGACUGUAAUUACGAUUGCACAUUGUCUUUGAUAAACAUGGUGACAUGGUAACCUACAGACAUUUAAUAGGACCUCUGCUCACUUUUUACAUUUCUUUUAUAUAUAUUGGAAUUUAGGCUGUAGCGUGUCUGUAGGACUGUCUGUAGCGUGUCUGUAGGGCUGUCUGUAACGUGUCUGUAGGGCUGUCUGUAACGUGUCUGUAGGACUGUCUGUAGCGUGUCUGUAGGACUGUCUGUAGUGUGUCUGUAGGACUGUCUGUAUUGUGUCUGUAGGACUGUCUGUAGUGUGUCUGUAGGACUGUAAUUACGAUUGCACAUUGUCUUUGAUAAACAUGGUGACAUGGUAACCUACAGACAUUUAAUAGGACCUCUGCUCACUUUUUACAUUUAUUUUAUAUAUAUUGGAAUUUAGGCUGUAGCGUGUCUGUAGGACUGUCUGUAGCGUGUCUGUAGGACUGUCUGUAGCGCGUCUGUAGGACUGUCUGUAACGUGUCUGUAGGACUGUCUGUAGCGUGUCUGUAGAACUGUCUGUAGCGUGUCUGUAGGGCUGUCUGUAACGUGUCUGUAGGACUGUCUGUAGCGUGUCUGUAGGACUGUCUGUAACGUGUCUGUAGGACUGUCUGUAACGUGUCUGUAGGACUGUCUGUAACGUGUCUGUAGGACUGUCUGUAGCGUGUCUGUAGGACUGUCUGUAGCAUGUCUGUAGGACUGUCUGUAGUGUGUCUGUAGGACUGUCUGUAGUGUGUCUGUAGGACUGUCUGUAGCAUGUCUGUAGGACUGUCUGUAGUGUGUCUGUAGGACUGUCUGUAGCAUGUCUGUAGGGCUGUCUGUAGCGUGUCUGUAGGACUGUCUGUAACGUGUCUGUAGGACUGUCUGUAGCGUGUCUGUAGGACUGUCUGUAACGUGUCUGUAGGACUGUCUGUAACGUGUCUGUAGGACUGUCUGUAACAUGUCUGUAGGACUGUCUGUAACGUGUCUGUAGGACUGUCUGUAACGUGUCUGUAGGACUGUCUGUAACGUGUCUGUAGGACUGUCUGUAGCGUGUCUGUAGGACUGUCUGUAGUGUGUCUGUAGGACUGUCUGUAACGUGUCUGUAGGACUGUCUGUAACGUGUCUGUAGGACUGUCUGUAGCGUGUCUGUAGGACUGUCUGUAACGUGUCUGUAGGACUGUCUGUAACGUGUCUGUAGGACUGUCUGUAGUGUGUCUGUAGGACUGUCUGUAGUGUGUCUGUAGGACUGUCUGUAACGUGUCUGUAGGACUGUCUGUAACGUGUCUGUAGGACUGUCUGUAGCGUGUCUGUAGGACUGUCUGUAGUGUGUCUGUAGGACUGUCAGUAUGAAUGUCUGCGAGUCUGUUCCCACAACAACAGAAACGUUUGUACCUAAGAGUCCAAUAAAAAUUUAAAUAAUUCAUCUUUAAACCGAAUCAAUUGAAAAUCACCUUUGAAUCGUUCUAGUGCUACUUACUGUACAACAUUGUCACCCUAGUUGAGUGCACUCUAGUAAACCUCAGCCUCACAGAGAGGAGUCACUACAGAUGGAACCACCAUGUUGAGGCACCUGGAUGCAUUAACACAUUAGCUGAGAUCAGAGGAGGGUUUUCUGAGAGAACUAAACCUAAGCUAUGUCUGCAUGCCAAUUAGCCCAUACGGCCCUGGUCAAAAGCAGUGCACUCUGUAGGGAAUAGGGUGCUGUUUGAGGCACACAUGAAUGUGCUGCUACAGACAGACGCUGUGUCCUGGGCGCCCUAAUAGUAGGAAUCCUAACGAUGGAAGCUGGCCAUCAGAGAAUGUACCAGUUUGUUUACUUUGCCAUGGUAACCCAACCUCAUGCACUACAAGCUUUAUGUGCCAGAACUGGACUUCAAAACCUGUACUGUUUGUAUUUAAUCAUCAAGUAUCUAGAAUUAUAAUACUAACAACACAUUCCCACUUUGAAACAACAAUGCUGUAUGUUAUAUAUCUACAGAUGGAUGGUGAUGGAGUAUGGUGUGGUAUUCAACAGAACACACCAUGUACUAUAAUCCUAUAUGACAUCAGUACUGCAUAUGGUGACUAUAUUUAUACAUGUUCGUACUGUAUAAAUAUAGAUACGUAUAUUUCUAUGUACAUUUGGAUAUUUAAACAUUGCAUAAAGAAUAAAAUAAAUAAUACAAAUAUAAUCAGAUGUUACAGUGAGUAUGAUUUGAGAAACGCUAUAUUAGAGCCCAAAAAGUCCUAACACUUCAAAUAAAAAUCAGGAUAAUAAUACUUAUUAUUAUUCAAUAAUAAACAGAAACAACAUCGUGGACUACAAUCUGGAGUAACUGAACGAGCUACACCACAUUACCCUGCAAAUGUACCAUUUGGGAAUUCUGGAAUGACUGGAGAGGAGAGGGGGAGAGAGGGAUAGAGGACGGAGAGAGGGAGAGAGAGAAAGAGAGAGUGAGUCUGUGUAUGUGUGUAGAUGUGUGUGUUCUUGCAUGUACAGUAUCUGUCUAUGUGUAUGUCUGUCUGUGUGUGUGUGUGUGUGUGUAUGUGUGUGUGUGUGUGUGCGGGGGGGGGGGGGCUAUGAUGGUGACACAGUCAGGGAGAGCUCUGGAUAGUUUGGGUCCAAUGUUUCUUUCACCUCCGGAUGUCUGUGGCCUCAGGGCCUUCCUGCUCCGCCACCACCCCAGCCUCGGGGCUCUGUCGACGGGGACCCUGGCUGCGGCUGCGGGGGUGGGCGUUGAAGCCGCCUUUACUGGGCUUGUCCUUGUCCCCCUGUCGGGGGGGUCUGGGGUGGUCUGGCUCGGAGUGGGGGGACCUGUGGCGGCGGUGGUCGGGGGAGGCGGGGGCCUGACCGGGAGGGGGGGUGAGGGAAGAGCAGACACUCAGGCUGUCACAGAGAGCCCCCCAGUUCUGCUCACACUGCAGCCGGACGCUUCUGGUUAAGGCCUCCUUCACCUCCUCCCCACAGCUCAGUAGGAUGUUGACCAGCUCCACAUACGGC
rnacentral:lncRNA from 1 species